GACGAACGCUGGCGGCGUGCUUAACACAUGCAAGUCGAACGGGCCCGCUCUCUUUUUUGGGGGUGGGUUGAGUGGCGAACGGGUGAGUAUCACGUGAGUAACCUGCCCCCUGCUCCUGGAUAACUGCUUGAAAGGGCGGCUAAUACGGGGUGUGCCGGCUGGUCCGCAUGGGCCUGGUCGGGAUAGUUUCAUCUUCGGGUGUUUCGGUGGGGGAUGGGCUCGCGGCCUAUCCGCUUGUUGGUGGGGUGAUGGCCCACCAAGGCGGUGACGGGUAGCCGGCCUGAGAGGGUGGGCGGCCACACUGGGACUGAGACACGGCCCAGACUCCUGCGGGAGGCAGCAGUGGGGGGUAUUGCACAAUGGGCGGAAGCCUGAUGCAGCGACGUCGCGUGAGGGAUGGAGGCCUUCGGGUUGUGAACCUCUUUCUCCGGUGGUGAAGGCCCUGUCCGUUGCGGCGGGGUUGACGGUAGCCGGGUAUGAAGCGCCGGCUAACUACGUG
rnacentral:rRNA from 1 species